rnacentral:tRNA from 1 species
UUAACCAAAACCAAAGUUGAGGUAUAUUAUUGUUAAUAAUAGAAUUGAAAGUUUUUUAUUUCUGGUUAAG